rnacentral:rRNA from 1 species
GAUGAACGCUGGCGGCGUGCCUAAUACAUGCAAGUCGAACGAAACUUCUUUAUCACCGAGUGCUUGCACUCACCGAUAAAGAGUUGAGUGGCGAACGGGUGAGUAACACGUGGGCAACCUGCCCAAAAGAGGGGGAUAACACUUGGAAACAGGUGCUAAUACCGCAUAACCAUAGUUACCGCAUGGUAACUAUGUAAAAGGUGGCUAUGCUACCGCUUUUGGAUGGGCCCGCGGCGCAUUAGCUAGUUGGUAGGGUAAAGGCUUACCAAGGCAAUGAUGCGUAGCCGAAUUGAGAGGUUGAUCGGCCACAUUGGGACUGAGACACGGCCCAAACUCCUACGGGAGGCAGCAGUAGGGAAUCUUCCACAAUGGGCGAAAGCCUGAUGGAGCAACGCCGCGUGGGUGAAGAAGGUCUUCGGAUCGUAAAACCCUGUUGUUAGAGAAGAAAGUGCGUGAGAGUAACUGUUCACGUUUCGACGGUAUCUAACCAGAAAGCCACGGCUAACUACGUG